GCCCGCCUAGCUCAAUCGGAUAGAGCGUCAGACUCUUACACUAGCUGGGCUUAGAAGGACAUCUGAAGGCUGCGAGUUCGACCCUCGCGGUGGGCU